AGGAGGGAUGGGGUGGGGGAAGUACCUGACCCGAAGGCUAAAAUUCAGUGUCCACUACCCGGAAGGCGGCACCCCCUGCGGGAGAGGAGACAGCGUUCACCGUGCAGCCGGGGGGGGGGGCAGCAGGGUCUGGGGGGGACGUCUUCAAGGGG